ACUCCUACGGGAGGCAGCAGUGGGGAAUCUUAGACAAUUGGCGCAAGCCUGAUCUAGCCAUGCCGCGUGAGUGAUGAAGGCCUUAGGGUCGUAAAGCUCUUUCGCCAGGGAUGAUAAUGACAGUACCUGGUAAAGAAACCCCGGCUAACUCCGUGCCAGCAGCCGCGGUAAUACGGAGGGGGUUAGCGUUGUUCGGAAUUACUGGGGCGUAAAGCGCGCGUAGGCGGAUUAGUCAGUUAGAGGUGAAAUCCCAGGGCUCAACCCUGGAACUGCCUUUAAUACUGCUAGUCUUGAGUUCGAGAGAGGUGAGUGGAAUUCCGAGUGUAGAGGUGAAAUUCGUAGAUAUUCGGAGGAACACCAGUGGCGAAGGCGGCUCACUGGCUCGAUACUGACGCUGAGGUGCGAAAGUGUGGGGGAGCAAACAGGAUUAGAUACCCUGGUAGGAUAGCG
rnacentral:rRNA from 1 species